rnacentral:rRNA from 1 species
UGUAUCCUACGGGGGGCAGCAGUAGGGAAUCUUCCACAAUGGACGAAAGCCUGAUGGAGCAACGCCGCGUGAGUGAAGAAGGGUUUCGGCUCGUAAAGCUCUGUUGGUAGUGAAGAAAGAUAGAGGGAGUAACUGGCCUUUAUUUGACGGUAAUUACUUAGAAAGUCACGGCUAACUACGUGCCAGCAGCCGCGGUAAUACGUAGGUGGCAAGCGUUGUCCGGAUUUAUUGGG